rnacentral:rRNA from 1 species
UUAAGCGACUAAGCGUACACGGUGGAUGCCCUGGCAGUCAGAGGCGAUGAAGGACGUGCUAAUCUGCGAUAAGCGUCGGUAAGGUGAUAUGAACCGUUAUAACCGGCGAUUUCCGAAUGGGGAAACCCAGUGUGAUUCGUCACACUAUCAUUAACUGAAUCCAUAGGUUAAUGAGGCGAACCGGGGGAACUGAAACAUCUAAGUACCCCGAGGAAAAGAAAUCAACCGAGAUUCCCCCAGUAGCGGCGAGCGAACGGGGAGCAGCCCAGAGCCUGAAUCAGUAUGUGUGUUAGUGGAAGCGUCUGGAAAGGCGUGCGAUACAGGGUGACAGCCCCGUACACAAAAAUGCACAUGCUGUGAGCUCGAUGAGUAGGGCGGGACACGUGGUAUCCUGUCUGAAUAUGGGGGGACCAUCCUCCAAGGCUAAAUACUCCUGACUGACCGAUAGUGAACCAGUACCGUGAGGGAAAGGCGAAAAGAACCCCGGCGAGGGGAGUGAAAAAGAACCUGAAACCGUGUACGUACAAGCAGUGGGAGCCUCUUUAAUGGGGUGACUGCGUACCUUUUGUAUAAUGGGUCAGCGACUUAUAUUCUGUAGCAAGGUUAACCGAAUAGGGGAGCCGAAGGGAAACCGAGUCUUAACUGGGCGUUAAGUUGCAGGGUAUAGACCCGAAACCCGGUGAUCUAGCCAUGGGCAGGUUGAAGGUUGGGUAACACUAACUGGAGGACCGAACCGACUAAUGUUGAAAAAUUAGCGGAUGACUUGUGGCUGGGGGUGAAAGGCCAAUCAAACCGGGAGAUAGCUGGUUCUCCCCGAAAGCUAUUUAGGUAGCGCCUCGUGAAUUCAUCUCCGGGGGUAGAGCACUGUUUCGGCAAGGGGGUCAUCCCGACUUACCAACCCGAUGCAAACUGCGAAUACCGGAGAAUGUUAUCACGGGAGACACACGGCGGGUGCUAACGUCCGUCGUGAAGAGGGAAACAACCCAGACCGCCAGCUAAGGUCCCAAAGUCAUGGUUAAGUGGGAAACGAUGUGGGAAGGCCCAGACAGCCAGGAUGUUGGCUUAGAAGCAGCCAUCAUUUAAAGAAAGCGUAAUAGCUCACUGGUCGAGUCGGCCUGCGCGGAAGAUGUAACGGGGCUAAACCAUGCACCGAAGCUGCGGCAGCGACACUAUGUGUUGUUGGGUAGGGGAGCGUUCUGUAAGCCGUUGAAGGUGGCCUGUGAGGGUUGCUGGAGGUAUCAGAAGUGCGAAUGCUGACAUAAGUAACGAUAAAGCGGGUGAAAAGCCCGCUCGCCGGAAGACCAAGGGUUCCUGUCCAACGUUAAUCGGGGCAGGGUGAGUCGACCCCUAAGGCGAGGCCGAAAGGCGUAGUCGAUGGGAAACAGGUUAAUAUUCCUGUACUUGGUGUUACUGCGAAGGGGGGACGGAGAAGGCUAUGUUGGCCGGGCGACGGUUGUCCCGGUUUAAGCGUGUAGGCUGAUUUUCCAGGCAAAUCCGGAGAAUCAAGGCUGAGGCGUGAUGACGAGGCACUACGGUGCUGAAGCAACAAAUGCCCUGCUUCCAGGAAAAGCCUCUAAGCAUCAGGUAACAUCAAAUCGUACCCCAAACCGACACAGGUGGUCAGGUAGAGAAUACCAAGGCGCUUGAGAGAACUCGGGUGAAGGAACUAGGCAAAAUGGUGCCGUAACUUCGGGAGAAGGCACGCUGAUGGUAGGUGAAGCGACCUGCUCGUGGAGCUGAAAUCAGUCGAAGAUACCAGCUGGCUGCAACUGUUUAUUAAAAACACAGCACUGUGCAAACACGAAAGUGGACGUAUACGGUGUGACGCCUGCCCGGUGCCGGAAGGUUAAUUGAUGGGGUCAGCCGCAAGGCGAAGCUCUUGAUCGAAGCCCCGGUAAACGGCGGCCGUAACUAUAACGGUCCUAAGGUAGCGAAAUUCCUUGUCGGGUAAGUUCCGACCUGCACGAAUGGCGUAAUGAUGGCCAGGCUGUCUCCACCCGAGACUCAGUGAAAUUGAACUCGCUGUGAAGAUGCAGUGUACCCGCGGCAAGACGGAAAGACCCCGUGAACCUUUACUAUAGCUUGACACUGAACAUUGAGCCUUGAUGUGUAGGAUAGGUGGGAGGCUUUGAAGUGUGGACGCCAGUCUGCAUGGAGCCGACCUUGAAAUACCACCCUUUAAUGUUUGAUGUUCUAACGUGGACCCGUGAUCCGGGUUGCGGACAGUGUCUGGUGGGUAGUUUGACUGGGGCGGUCUCCUCCUAAAGAGUAACGGAGGAGCACGAAGGUUGGCUAAUCCUGGUCGGACAUCAGGAGGUUAGUGCAAUGGCAUAAGCCAGCUUGACUGCGAGCGUGACGGCGCGAGCAGGUGCGAAAGCAGGUCAUAGUGAUCCGGUGGUUCUGAAUGGAAGGGCCAUCGCUCAACGGAUAAAAGGUACUCCGGGGAUAACAGGCUGAUACCGCCCAAGAGUUCAUAUCGACGGCGGUGUUUGGCACCUCGAUGUCGGCUCAUCACAUCCUGGGGCUGAAGUAGGUCCCAAGGGUAUGGCUGUUCGCCAUUUAAAGUGGUACGCGAGCUGGGUUUAGAACGUCGUGAGACAGUUCGGUCCCUAUCUGCCGUGGGCGCUGGAGAACUGAGGGGGGCUGCUCCUAGUACGAGAGGACCGGAGUGGACGCAUCACUGGUGUUCGGGUUGUCAUGCCAAUGGCACUGCCCGGUAGCUAAAUGCGGAAGAGAUAAGUGCUGAAAGCAUCUAAGCACGAAACUUGCCCCGAGAUGAGUUCUCCCUGAGACUUUAAGUCUCCUGAAGGAACGUUGAAGACGACGACGUUGAUAGGCCGGGUGUGUAAGCGCAGCGAUGCGUUGAGCUAACCGGUACUAAUGAACCGUGAGGCUUAACCU